rnacentral:rRNA from 1 species
ACGGCCGCAAGGUUAAAACUCAAAUGAAUUGACGGGGGCCCGCACAAGCGGUGGAGCAUGUGGUUUAAUUCGAUGCAACGCGAAGAACCUUACCUGGUCUUGACAUCCACGGAAGUUUUCAGAGAUGAGAAUGUGCCUUCGGGAACCGUGAGACAGGUGCUGCAUGGCUGUCGUCAGCUCGUGUUGUGAAAUGUUGGGUUAAGUCCCGCAACGAGCGCAACCCUUAUCCUUUGUUGCCAGCGGUCCGGCCGGGAACUCAAAGGAGACUGCCAGUGAUAAACUGGAGGAAGGUGGGGAUGACGUCAAGUCAUCAUGGCCCUUACGACCAGGGCUACACACGUGCUACAAUGGCGCAUACAAAGAGAAGCGACCUCGCGAGAGCAAGCGGACCUCAUAAAGUGCGUCGUAGUCCGGAUUGGAGUCUGCAACUCGACUCCAUGAAGUCGGAAUCGCUAGUAAUCGUAGAUCAGAAUGCCACGGUGAAUACGUUCCCGGGCCUUGUACACACCGCCCGUCACACCAUGGGAGUGGGUUGCAAAAGAAGUAGGUAGCUUAACCUUCGGGAGGGCGCUUACCACUUUGUGAUUCAUGACUGGGGUGAAGUCGUAACAAGGUAACCGUAGGGGAACCUGCGGUUGGAUCACCUCCUUACCUUAAAGAAGC